rnacentral:rRNA from 1 species
GAUGAACGCUAGCGGCAGGCCUAAUACAUGCAAGUCGAACGGGCGGUAGCAAUACCGCUAGUGGCGCACGGGUGCGUAACGCGUAACCAACCUGCCCAGAUCUGGGGGAUAGCCCGCCGAAAGGCGGAUUAAUACCGCAUAAACCCACAGUGUGGCAUCACAUAAUGGGUAAAGAUUUAUCGGAUCUGGAUGGGGUUGCGUAGCAGUAGCUAGUUGGCGGGGUAAUGGCCCACCAAGGCGACGAUGCUUAGGGGACCUGAGAGGGUGAUCCCCCACACUGGCACUGAGAUACGGGCCAGACUCCUACGGGAGGCAGCAGUAGGGAAUAUUGGGCAAUGGGCGAGAGCCUGACCCAGCCAUGCCGCGUGCCGGAUGAAGGCCUUCUGGGUUGUAAACGGCUUUUCUCAGGGAAGAAAACGGGGAUGCGUCCUCAACUGACGGUACCUGAGGAAUAAGCACCGGCUAACUCCGUG